rnacentral:lncRNA from 1 species
UUGGUAUCUGCUUGCCUAGAGGACUGGUCUGCAACUGCUGAGUUGUAUUUGGUGUUUGCUACAGGACCAAACUGCUGCCAAAGAAGCUCAACCUCACCCCCAAAGAACUCUUAUGAACAGGCCCACUUCCCCCAUAUCCUAAUAACGUUUCUCUUCCAUUACCUCUGCUGGGCGGUGGGCGAGAGGAGAGGUUGAACCCUUAUUGAAGUAGGUUGCAAAAAUAUAUGCCUACAGAUUUCUCAUUUGGUUUACGUUUGGUUCUGUUUUGCUUUUUCCCUAGCCACUUGACGUUUCCACGUGUCACAGCUCUGACCUCAGCAACUGAAGUCAGAAAGAAGGCAAAGAUUGCAAGGCAGACAAAGCAAGGGUUGAGGCGGGUAGCAAACAGAAGCACAUUGUCAUGGCAAAUAUCUGCCUAGCGUGUAUGCAGAUCUAAGACCAUGGCCUAAAUCACACCAUACCAAGGUGAGGAGCUGGGCGGCAACUCACCAGAGCGGUUAAAGAGAGUGCCGGCCCUCCUCUUUAGGGCAGGCUUUUAGACCACCAGGACGAUCUGUUCUGCCCUUCAUGUCAAUGAGGAAAUAUGCCCAUCAGUGAGUCCCACUCUCCAGCACUUGAGCACACAGCAAACGCCAGCCACAUGGCCAGUGGACAUCCACAGCCCCCAUAAUCCAUCCCCCCACCCUGAGUUUUAAAGAUGUUCACAGCCUUUGCAUACUCUAGAACUUCACAGAAAUGAAAGUAAAAAUUUCCCACAAUCCUCUCACCUGUGUUUUUCUAAAAAGUAUGCAUUGACUCCUUUUCCCCCCUGUGAACACAGAAGAAACCACUGCCUGUGCACAUGUCAGUGUGCAGUGAUAAUCUUUCUAGAAAGUUCUGGCUUCCUGCCGCGGUCGCUUUACUCCAGGAAAUUGUGACGUCCCGAUUGUUCCUCCAAAGCUUUGAGAACAGCCAGGUGACUGCCUUGCCCCAAGCAUUAUACCUGUAGCGAGGAUAAAUUGCGCAUCUUUCCCGAGUUUGAUCUUUGAGCUAGCCCAACUUUUAUUAGGUUUCAACCUCUCAAAUUGAAAUCUUGUGGUGGAACCUGUCUAGGAAGUUUGACGUUUCUAACCACAGUUUAACCACAUUCUUUGCUCUCACCUCCUGACCUUUCGACCAGGAAAGAGAGCCACCAGUUGCUGGUGCUCCCUCCCACACCUAGUUAGCUGGGUCCUGGAGGCAUCUUCCCAGCGGGGCAUCUCUGAGCUUGGUGGCUCUGCACUGGCAGUGGGCCCUGCUCAGCAAAGAAAGAACAAUAUGGACUCUGUUCUCAAUUAGUGUGUAACCCUCGGGGCAGGCACAGGCUCACUCCUGCUCCCCUGUACUUUAAUGGCCUAGUCUGAUGUUCCUACAGCUCGGGGCCAGGUGGGGCAAGAGCCCAGAAACAGGAGAGCACCUUGCAUUCCCUGGACAAGCUGCGGAGACCUUCUAACAACAGUCCUUCCAAAGGCCGUGGUUCCUCCCUCCUCCCAGACUUGGAAUAAGGAAUACUGGCAUAAUUCUGUUUUUGUUUUUUGUUUGACUCCUUCAGUGCUACUACCUCUGAAAUAUCAAACAUAAAGCUUUUUCCAGAAGGAACUGGCAUUUGCCCUAAGCACAUGAUACUGAUACUGCCUAGGAGGUAAUGUGGAUCCACCCAGAGGAAUUCUGGACGUCUUCAUUUGGAUUCGAUGUUCUAAAGUAUAUCUAUUUACCUGAGCAGAGGGGAAGUCAAGACUUCUGUUAAGCACCACAACUCCAGUGACUCUGCCUGGGGACUGGACAAGAAGCUGAAGCACUCAUCCUUUAUAUUUGUUUACUCAAGUUUUUCAAUGAAAGGCUUUGGCCAUAAAUUCAAAAAACGAAUUCCUUUUAUCCUUCUGCCAUCAUUUUUGUCUAAAUAAAUCUGCGUCUUUAACACUCAAUAAAUGGAUCGCUUCAAUUGAACAAAGCAGAGGUCCUGAUGUUCUAUCCCCUCCCAUGGAAAAGCCAAGGGUAUGCGUCCACAGUCCCAGUUUUCCAGGGACA